rnacentral:lncRNA from 1 species
AUGGUGACAACUGUGGCAUCCUCUGAACCAACAAGUAGAAUUGGCAGAAUUUCCAGGAGCUGCCCAGCUGGGGCGUGUGCUUGGGGCAGUGGAGAGUGUGGUCAGACUUCCUCUGUUGGUUCUUUGUCUGCUUUAUACGGCUCAGAGCUGGCCAGGGCUGGAAAGCCCCGGGUGGCACGCCAAGGACACACAUCUGGGGCUGGGCACCCAGGGGGUUGGCUGGCAGCUGCUGACACAGGCAGACCACAGCAAUGCCAGGCCAAGCUGGGGGCCCCCAGGAGGGAGGCAGGGAAAGAGGGGGCAGUGGUGGCCUGAGUCCUUGGAAUGACCUGGUCAGUUUGGGGUCCCAAACCUACCCUACUGGGACGCCAUGCCCUGAGUCUAGCCAUGGCCCCCUUGUCUCCCACUUCCCAACCAGGCCCUGACAUCAGGCUCUUGCCCCUGGGUAGAGAAGGAAAAUGCCAUACGGAGACUCUGAAUCUCCCAGGCCCUAGCACGGCUACAACAGAUGCCAGCGGGCACCUGGCAGCAGGUUCUGGUUGCCUGUGGGGUUGACCUCACCUGUCGCCAUGAGGCCAGACACCUACCUUGACCUAGGUCCCGCUUCUGCUCUCAGGAGGGGAGAAGGGAGCCCCCGCUCACAGCGCUGGCUUCUCUGGCUGUGAGCCUGAGAGAGGAAACACCUCUGGCAGGUUAACAAAUCAUGGCCAUGAUGGUCUGAUAUCCAUCCUUUCUGAGCCUCAUUUUCUCUCCUUUUCAUGCGAAAUUCCUCAGCAUUGAAGAACAUUUUUAAAAAAGAAGACACAAAAGAGAGGGCCUACGGGAGACUCAACGGGAGGGCGGACCCCUGGAAAGCCUUUUCAGCUGCUGCUGCCGCCCGGGCUCGGAUCCGAAGAGCAGGAAACUGGAGGACGCCCCUGGUGGGCGAGAUUUCAUUUCAAACCUGCCUGUUGGCUGAGGCUUGGGCGGGGAAGGAGACGUGGCGGGACAUCGGCCUGGCUGGGCGCUCUGCCCGCGGCCCAGGUCUGUGCCCAUCCCACGCGGGCACUCAGUAAUUGUUGAAUGAAUGAAAGAGAAGCAAUCAGGGAACGGCAAGUGGCUAGAUCCUUCUUGGGGCCCUGUCCAUACCUCCUUCUCUGAGAGGUUCGAAGGCUGAAAGGCUCAUGGUUCUGCUCUCAUGAGAGACCUGCCAUGCCAGACCUGACCCUCGGUGCGUGGCACGGGGCCCGGACUGCCUCCCCCUCCGAAGAUGCUCGGUAUUUGAGUCCAUGGAGUUUUCUACAGCAGAGUUAGGUUGGGCUCAGCCCCCAGAAAUGCCUUCAGAGCCCCAGGCAGGGACCCAGACCACUUAUUCUGGAGGAAAACUCCGGCUCUGCCAAUCUCUCUUUCGCUCUCUCUCUCUCUCAUACACACACUUUCUCGAUAUCAGCAUAUUUGUCACACUUAUUCCAUUUCUCCUCUGGCUCAGGGACACAAGGUGAGCUGAAGGAGAGCUACUUGUGUGAGGACUGGAAAGGCACGGGUGCCAUGGAAACCGCUCUGAAAGCCAGGAAAGCUGCAGCCAUCAGGAGAGGCCGCUCGGCCGCCACUGGCCAGCUGUUUGGAUCCUCUCCCUAACAUGAUGAGGUUUCAUUUAUUCUCCCCCUGUAUGUCUCAUUCCCUCUCUUGCAUUCUCUCCCACCUUACUCACAGACCCAGCUCAGGAAGCUGCCCGCAGGUCGGAGAAUAAAGGUACUAAUGAUUUUUUAAAAACUCUAUGA